AUACGUAGGUGGCAAGCGUUGUCCGGAAUUAUUGGGCGUAAAGCGCGCGCAGGCGGCUAUGUAAGUCCGGUGUCAAAGCCCGGGGCUCAACCCCGGUACGCAUCGGAAACUGUGUAGCUUGAGUGCAGAAGAGGAAAGCGGUAUUCCACGUGUAGCGGUGAAAUGCGUAGAGAUGUGGAGGAACACCAGUGGCGAAGGCGGCUUUCUGGUCUGUAACUGACGCUGAGGCGCGAAAGCGUGGGGAGCAAACAGGAUUAGAUACCCUGGUAGUCCACGCCGUAAACGAUGAGUGCUAGGUGUUGGGGGUUUCAACACCCUCAGUGCCGCAGCUAACGCAAUAAGCACUCCGCCUGGGGAGUACGCUCGCAAGAGUGAA
rnacentral:rRNA from 1 species